rnacentral:lncRNA from 1 species
GGUAACUACAUGCAUGUAAUGAUGAGAAUAUUUAUAUGUAUUUAUGAUUAUCACAAAAAAACAAAGAUUCUACCAUUCAAGAGGAACAUUUAUUUUAUUUUUUUAUUUGAGAAAAGUAUAAUUUUAUUUAUUUAUUUAUUUGUGCAAAUUUAUGGGGUACUUGAGAAAAUGUGUUACAUGUAUAUAAUGUGUAGUGAUCCAAUCAGGAUACUAAGGGUGUCCAUCACCUGAGUGUAUUACAUUUUUGUUAAGUAUAAUCAUCCUACUCCAGGAGAACAUUUUAAAAACUGUUCUGUAGAGAUACUACUCAAAUUAAGUUCUCAGUCCUGAAACAUCAGAUCAGCUAGGAAUCUGACAAAAAUGCAAGUUCUCAGAUGACAGAUGAGACCACUUCAAUCAGAAUUUCUGGAGUGGAGCCCACACAUUUGUAUUUUUGCAACCUUUCCAAUGAUACUUAUGUACAUGCUCAAGCUUGAAAACCACUUUCCUAGGACAUUAGUUCCUCGACAAGAUUUGUGAGUAACCUUGUUUCAUGAAAAAGUGUUUAGGAGAUACUGAUUCAAUAAAAACUAAUCAGGCUUUUAUUGUUUGCAGGGCUUUCAAAACUUGCAAUAGGCCACUGUGCAUUGUUAAUUUCUAAGAGGAAGAUGCUUAUGUCCUCAAUGAAUAUCUUCCCACCAUGAAGUACUCUUCUUCCCCCACUUUUUAAAACAAUUACUAACACCUGGCAGAAGUAGGCAGACAGCUUACAGCUUAGAAAAAGUUGGCCUAAGAUAAUGGCUAAUUUUCAUACAUUAUUUAUUUGUCAUCAUGCUUAUCUUUCUCUCUCUAAAUUGUAUAUUUCAUCUCUGUGAUCACAGAUUGAGCCUCAUAUUUCAUAUCUGCCCCUGGCCUAAUGGUUGUUUACAGAAUGAGCUCAAUGAAUAUUGUUAAAUAACACUAACAAAGUUGACCUUAGAAUUGGAGUGCCUGGGUUAGAACCCUGCUGGUACCACCUGCUUACUGCAUGCUUCUGAUGUGAGUUCAGGAGAAGACACUGGCAAGGACAGCAAAGAACAGGAGAACACUCUAGCUUCCCUGAUAGCAUUCAAGGUGCUGUCCAAACUGACUGUGAUGGCACCCUCCAGACAGACAGCGAUGCCACAUGUUCAAGAUGGCAGAAUCACUAUCAGCUUCAAUUCCUGAAUGACUGCAGAGCAAAAUUUCUUACCUGCAACAUACACUCUAUUUUCAGCCUCCCUGGACUGUUACAUAAUGAUACAUAAAAAUAUUUCUUGUGUUGAGGCAUCCCAAAUUUGAUUUAUUUGUCAUCACAGUCUAUCCUAUGAAUAUAUUUCUGAUCCAAAUAAUGCUAGAUUCAUGAGAGUUUAUAGUCCAGAGAUUUUUUUUUUUUUUUUGAGACAGAAUCUGUCUCCCAGGCUGGGGUGCAGUGGCAUAAUCUUAGCUCACUGCAACCUCUGCCUCCCGGGCUCAAGUGAUCCUCCCUCCUUAGCCUCCAUGAGUAGCUGGGACCACAGGUGUGCACCACCACACCCCGCUAAUUAUUUUGUAUUUUUUGCAGAGGGGGGUUUCACCACAUUGCCCAAGCUGGUCUCAAACUCCUAGACUUAAGGGAUCUGCCUGCCUUGGCCUCCCAAAAUGCUGAAAUUACACUUGUUAGCCAUAGUAAUAGUUCCUAGCCAUAGUCCGGAGAUAUUUUAAAAACUUUAGUGUGAGUUAUUUCUCUUUGCUAUAAUUCUCUCAUGCAUUUUGAAAACCUUUUCUGCCAUACAGUGGUUUUUGGGAAGUCCUUUUGGACAGACAUAUCACAGGAUGGAGAAACUAAAAAGAGAGAAUGCAUUAAAGAAAAAAUAGUACUUCGUAUUUCAGAAAUUACAAAAGGGUGUCAUGCCCCACAGCAUGGUGGGCAGUCAUUUGUAACCCACAGAACAUUGAGUUUCUAAAAUUUGAGUGUUUUUAACUUACGAAGGCCAACUUUACUGAUGAAGUGAUUACCCCAAAUAUGUGAAAUCCAUAUUUCAAGUACAAUAGUAGGAAAUUGGAAAUGGGCUCUUGAGUUUCUGCUUUCAAGUGACCCUCAGAAAUUCCUCCAUUCACUGCAGAGGUUCUGUUUCUCCUUGCUUUGUUCUGACUUUACGGCAGAACUAAGCUAAUGAGUUAGUUACUAUGGGUUAUCACUUGGAUUUGAAGAACCAUCAUUUCUAGGCAUUGCUGCUCAGAGUGGGUCUGCCCUCAGGGGAAGCUGUCUAACCAGAGCCUAACCCACUAGGGUUUUAUCAGAACCUAACUGACCUGAGGAAAAGAAAUACUCAACUCCAGCAAGCUCCAGCCUUCCAAAUGGAGGAGGAGAAAACCCAACUCCAGCCCACUUCAGCUAUCUUGUCCCACAUAAAGGGGAAGUGGAAGAAACCUGAGAAGCAGGCAUGAAGUUCACAGUCCAGAGUGUAUUCCACACCAUUUCAUAUUCCAUCGCAUUCCAUUCUACACAAUUCCACAUCUCCCCGGCCACAUCAGCCUGAGAGUAAUAAACAGACCUUGCCAUCGUAUCCCCUUUUGGAGACACAAGCCAGGAAGGAAGCUCUUCAGUGCAGCUGUGAAUAGAGAAAUGCUGGCUGAGGUUUUGGAGACACUGGGUGAUCAUUCCCAGUGAAAUUUUUAGAUCCCUGGGGACAUGAGCUGCUUUGUCUUUUCCAAGGCUGAAAAAGUUUUGGAAGCCCUCCUAAGCAGGUGCCAGACCCUUUUUUGGCCAGAGACAGGAUCUUACGCUGUUGCCCAGGCUGGAGUGCAAUAGUGUCAUCAUGGCUCACUGUAGCCUGGAACUGCUGGGCUCAAGGGAUCCUCCCAGCUCAGCCUCCCAAGUAGCUAGGAGUAAAGUCUGGAGAACACUUUUUCUUUUGAGCUGUUUACAACCUUUAGCAAUUGAGUAGAGUGUACUCUUGUCAAUAGAAUUUGAAGCACAUUUCUCUCUCUGCCUGAUUUCUGUAGAAUUUGUAAACUAUUUGUGAAUAUUCUUAAUUUAUGGCAAUAUGGUUGCUUACAUAAGUUCAAUAAUAAUCUGUUUUCUUUUACAAUGAGACACAGUUGGAGGAACUGGUUAUUUUCCCAGGGCUUUGACUGAAAUGGCCUUGUGAAUGGUUCCAGGAAAGCCAAUUUUGGAGACCCUAUGUGGAUGAUGAUGCUUGCUGUACUUUCUGUGGGUAAUCGGGCCAAGUAUAUGGGACUGAAGCUAAUUUUGCAGGUGAGAAAAUGGAGGUCCAGAGAGAAAAGUGACUCACCCAAGCUGAAAACAGUUGCAGGAAGAAAAGCCAGGACAGAACUGGGCUGUUAGAAACCUUGGAGUACACUAAAGAUGAGGAACUGAGUCACCGCAAUGCCAAAUGUAACACGCUGUGGGUCAAAAUUUGGAUGGUUGCGUUGGAAAUUAUUCUGAAGCCACAGACAGGGCUAAAAGAGUCUAGAAUGUCCUACUAGCUGUUGGAACCUGCUGGAGUUCUAAAGGCAUGCGAUGUCCUGAAUGUGCUUGACCAAUGGACACAGCAGGUAUUUGAAGAGUUUUGAUGCUUCCUUUCUGUUUUCAGUGCUAUUUUUUUGCUUUAUUUCUUUUAAAAAACUUUCCCCACAGAGGCUAUUUAUUACACAGCAGCAGCCAGCAUGCACCAAGCAGAACUGCUUUUCAUAAUAAACCUAUUUAUCUUCUGGCAUGUCAGAAAUUUCUCAAAUUGAUACUUAUAAUAAAUAUGAUUAAUAACACAUUGUA